rnacentral:rRNA from 1 species
UGGCCAAGCUACUAAGGGCAAACGGUGGAUGCCUUGGCGCUGGGUGGCGAUGAAAGACGUGGCUAGCUGCGAUAAGCUUCGGCGAGCCGCUAAACAGGCUUUGACCCGGAGAUUUCUGAAUGGGGGAACCCAUCCCGAGUAAUGUCGGGAUAUCUAUUGCUGAAUCCAUAGGCAAUAGAGGCGAACGAGGGGAACUGAAACAUCUCAGUACCCUCAGGAAAAGAAAACAACAGUGAUUCCCAAAGUAGUGGCGAGCGAAAUGGGAGGAGCCUAAACCGGACAUAUGCUAAAGUCUGCAGACGUUGUAUGUCCGGGGUUGCGGGGUCUUACCGGACGAAGCUGCAGAUUCGUCGCCAAGUCAAAAAUUCAAUCGAUAGUUGAACAACCUGGAAAGGUUGGCCGCAGAUGGUGAAAGUCCAGUAAACGAAAUCGAUUGAACUUGGUGGGUAAGAUUCCCAAGUACCACGGGACACGAGGAACCCCGUGGGAAUCAAGGAGGACCACCUUCUAAGGCUAAAUACAACCCAGCGACCGAUAGUGAACUAGUACCGUGAGGGAAAGGUGAAAAGAACCCCGGUGAGGGGAGUGAAAUAGUACCUGAAACCGUUUGUCUACAAGCAGUGGAAGAACUAUUGGAUUUAUUUGAGGGAUAUCCUUAUUAAAUCCAAGUUCGACUGCGUACCUUUUGUUUAAUGGGUCCGCGAGUUACUCCUCUGCAGCAAGGUUAAGCCGCUAGGUGUAGCCGGAGCGAAAGCGAGUCUUAAAUGGGCGAUUUGAGUUGCAUGGAGUAGACCCGAAACCAGGUGAUCUAUCCAUGGCCAGGGUGAAGUUCCGGUAACACGGAAUGGAGGCCCGAACCAGUGUGGGGUGAAAACUGCUUGGAUGAGCUGUGGAUAGGAGUGAAAGGCUAAUCAAACCUGGAGAUAGCUGGUUCUCCCCGAAAUAUAUUUAGGUAUAGCCUCGCAAAUUAAGUAACGGGGGUAGAGCACUGAAUGGGCUAGGGGUCCUACCAGAUUACCAAACCCAACCAAACUCCGAAUACCGUUAACUCUUACUGCGGGAGUCAGACUGCGGGUGAUAAGUUCCGUGGUCGAGAGGGAAAGAGCCCAGAUCGCCAGCUAAGGUCCCAAAAUAUGUGCUAAGUGGAAAAGGAUGUGGAAACGCAGAGACAGCCAGGAGGUUGGCUUAGAAGCAGCCAUCCUUUAAAGAAAGCGUAACAGCUCACUGGUCAAGUGGUUCUGCGCCGACAAUGUAACGGGGCUCAAGCACAUUACCGAAGCUGCGGAUCUCCCGACUUGUCGGGGGGUGGUAGGGGAGCAUUCCAUUCUGGGUUGAAGCCAGACCGUGAGGACUGGUGGACUGAAUGGAAGAGAUUAUGCUGACAUGAGUAGCGAUAAUGCCGGUGAGAAACUGGCACGCCGAAAGCCUAAGGUUUCCUGAGUAAAGUUAAUCUGCUCAGGGUUAGUCGGCCCCUAAGCCGAGGCUGAAAAGCGUAGGUGAUGGGAAACAGGUUAAUAUUCCUGUACCACCGGAUCAGCGUUUGAGUGAUGGGGGGACGCAGAAGGGUAGGCCAUCUCCGUGAUGGAAUACGGAGUUCAAGCUGGUAGGUGGAGAGGGCAGGCAAAUCCGCCCUCUUAUUCAACACCGAGAGGUGAUGAGGAUCCCUUUUAGGGUACAAACUGGUUGAUCCCAUGCUGCCGAGAAAAGCCUCUAGCGAGUUGAUCAGGUGACCGUACCGCAAACCGACACAGGUAGGCGGGGAGAGGAUCCUAAGGCGCUUGAGAGAACUCUGGUUAAGGAACUCGGCAAAAUGACACCGUAACUUCGGAAGAAGGUGUGCCCUCAUUAGGUGAAGUCCUCCCGCUUCGGGGCGGACGGAGCCGAAGGGGGUUGCAGAGAAAUGGCGGUAGCGACUGUUUACUAAAAACACAGGACUCUGCUAAGUCGUAAGACGACGUAUAGGGUCUGACGNNNNNNNNNNNNNNNNNNNNNNNNNNNNNNNNNNNNNNNNNNNNNNNNNNNNNNNNNNNNNNNNNNNNNNNNNNNNNNNNNNNNNNNNNNNNNGGUAAGUUCCGACCUGCACGAAUGGCGUAACGACUUCCCCGCUGUCUCAACCAGGGACUCAGCGAAAUUGAAUUGGCGGUGAAGAUGCCGUCUACCCGCGGCAAGACGGAAAGACCCCGUGCACCUUUACUACAGCUUGACAUUGAAUUUUGGGGUAGUAUGUGUAGGAUAGGUGGGAGACUAUGAAGUCCCGACGCCAGUUGGGAUGGAGCCAACCUUGAAAUACCACCCUUCUUAAUUUAGGGUCCUAAUCUU